GAUGAACGCCGGCGGCGUGCUUAACACAUGCAAGUCGAACGGAAAGGCUCCUGCUUGCAGGGGUGCUCGAGUGGCGAACGGGUGAGUAACACGUGGGUGAUCUGCCCUUCACUUCGGGAUAACCCUGGGAAACUGGGUCUAAUACCGGAUAGGACCACCUUCUGGAUGGUGUGGUUUAAAGUUUUUCGGUGUGUGAUGAUCUCGCGGCCUAUCAGCUUGUUGGUGGGGUAAUGGCCUACCAAGGCGUCGACGGGUAGCCGGCCUGAGAGGGUGUCCGGCCACAUUGGGACUGAGAUACGGCCCAGACUCCUACGGGAGGCAGCAGUGGGGAAUAUUGCACAAUGGGCGGAAGCCUGAUGCAGCAACGCCGCGUGGGGGAUGACGGCCUUCGGGUUGUAAACUGCUUUCGCUAGGGACGAAGCGCGAGUGACGGUAACUGGAGAAGAAGCACCAGCUAACUACGUG
rnacentral:rRNA from 1 species